rnacentral:rRNA from 1 species
ACGUAGGGGACGAGCGUUAUCCGGAUUUACUGGGCGUAAAGCGCAUGUAGGUGGCUUGAAAAGUUGGACGUGAAAGCUCCCGGCUUAACUGGGAGAGGUCGUUCAAAACUGGCAAGCUUGAGGUUGGAAGAGGAGAGCGGAAUUCCCGGUGUAGUGGUGGAAUGCGUAGAUAUCGGGAGGAACACCAGUGGCGAAAGCGGCUCUCCGGUUCAAUACUGACACUGAGAUGCGAAAGCGUGGGGAGCGAACGG